ACUCCUACGGGAGGCAGCAGUGGGGAAUAUUGCACAAUGGGGGAAACCCUGAUGCAGCCAUGCCGCGUGUGUGAAGAAGGCCUUCGGGUUGUAAAGACACUUUCAGUAGGGAGGAAGGUAGUGUAGUUAACACCUGCAUUAUUUGACGUUACCUACAGAAGAAGCACCGGCUAACUACCGUGCCAGCAGCCGCGGUAAUACGGAGGGUGCGAGCGUUAAUCGGAAUUACUGGGCGUAAAGCGCAUGCAGGCGGCCUGUUAAGUCAGAUGUGAAAGCCCGGGGCUUAACCUCGGAAUUGCAUUUGAAACUGGCAGGCUAGAGUCUUGUAGAGGGGGGUAGAAUUUCAGGUGUAGCGGUGAAAUGCGUAGAGAUCUGAAGGAAUACCAGUGGCGAAGGCGGCCCCCUGGACAAAGACUGACGCUCAGAUGCG
rnacentral:rRNA from 1 species